UUCAAACCUUCUCCUAGAGGGGAAGGAAAAUAAAAUCUUCAUCUUACCUUUCUUUCUGCCUAGCUGCAUUCCGAGCUGAAGAAGCUACACAAGAAUGUGAAACAGUUUUAUUCCUUUGUGGAUGCACAGUUCAGCUUGUGAUCAAAGAGUAAAUGAUCCUUCCAGGAAUUAUACUAACUCUGCCUUUCUCUCAUUUACAGGUCUGCCGCUGCAGAUUUUCUUCACUGUUAGGAAUAAGCAGUUCCUGAGACACAAGUGCCUGAGAGAAAGGUCUGCAACAAUUGCUGCAGUGCUGCCAUCCAAAGCCCCUUGUGCAUGCCUCAGCAUCCAGAGAUCUUAGACCCAGCCUGCAACAAGGUGCUGCGGGAGCAUGAGGAAACCCAAAGACCUCCCUAAACAGGCAAACCUAGAAAUACUUCAGGCACCUUCUAGCAGAGAGUUGCUUCUGCAUUGACCUGAACACUGAAUGCUCAAGUAUCACUGGGAACCCCUUCGCCUCCCCAUGAAGAGAAAACUUGCUGGUGGAGCUGACAUGUGACAAGAUCUGUGAUUGCUGGCUGCCUAAUUGAAGUUUUGGUACCUCAUUCUUCUGGCUACAGACUCCUGUGCACCCACUUGGUACUUGCACCUCUCAUGAGAGUCAGCAUGGGAAGGAGCCUGCAGUAGGACAGGGGGCUGAAGUUGAGAGAUCCUAAGCUUUAGGUCUAUGACCUAGUUGAAAAAGCAAUCUCUCCCAGAGCCCAUAUUUAUCCAAAGAAUAUUUUCUUAAGCAUGUAGCAGUUCUACCUCCUGCCAGUGCCAAGUCUGAAAUACCUACAUGUGGAGGGGAAAAAAAUAAUGAGAUUAAUAUACAUUAGGCGCAGAUAUGGAAUACAAAAAUCAGAUAUUGUGAACUGGAAUUGAGUUUGGUUUCAAGUGAUUUUGUCCACCUGCCUACAGUUGUCUCAAAUAUGACCAUAAUACCGGGCACAGUUUUGCUUUUACAAGGUCACUGCAUAAAUGUUUAUGUGCUGUGAGUUAAAUCAUGCACUUAAAGAGGGAAGAGGAUGAAAUGGAAAACUUACUAACCCUAAUGAUGGAUGGAUUGCUCAUUACUCGCACUAACAGACAGCCAGCCCAGGCAGGAAGUUUCCAUCCAGUAAAUGUAUCUCUCUGAAAAUGUGCCAGGUAGAGGUAAAGAAAAAUGUUAGUUUAGCCAUUUUGAAAUACUUUUUGAAGGGCUCUGGACUCCUUCUGCAGAAGGAAUAAAGAAUAAACUGUGAUACUAAUAAAUUCUGAA
rnacentral:lncRNA from 1 species